rnacentral:rRNA from 1 species
ACUAUCAUUAACUGAAUCCAUAGGUUAAUGAGGCGAACCGGGGGAACUGAAACAUCUAAGUACCCCGAGGAAAAGAAAUCAACCGAGAUUCCCCCAGUAGCGGCGAGCGAACGGGGAGGAGCCCAGAGCCUGAAUCAGCAUGUGUGUUAGUGGAAGCGUCUGGAAAGGCGCGCGAUACAGGGUGACAGCCCCGUACACAAAAGCGCAUGUGCUGUGAGCUCGAUGAGUAGGGCGGGACACGUGGUAUCCUGUCUGAAUAUGGGGGGACCAUCCUCCAAGGCUAAAUACUCCUGACUGACCGAUAGUGAACCAGUACCGUGAGGGAAAGGCGAAAAGAACCCCGGCGAGGGGAGUGAAAAAGAACCUGAAACCGUGUACGUACAAGCAGUGGGAGCACCCUUUGGGUGUGACUGCGUACC